GACGAACGCUGGCGGCGUGCCUAAUACAUGCAAGUCGAGCGAAGUUUUUCUGGUGCUUGCACCGGAAAAACUUAGCGGCGAACGGGUGAGUAACACGUAAAGAACCUGCCUCAUAGACUGGGACAACUAUUGGAAACGAUAGCUAAUACCGGAUAACAGCAUUAACUGCAUGGUUGAUGUUUAAAAGUUGGUUUUGCUAACACUAUGAGAUGGCUUUGCGGUGCAUUAGCUAGUUGGUGGGGUAAAGGCCUACCAAGGCGACGAUGCAUAGCCGACCUGAGAGGGUGAUCGGCCACACUGGGACUGAGACACGGCCCAGACUCCUACGGGAGGCAGCAGUAGGGAAUCUUCCGCAAUGGGCGAAAGCCUGACGGAGCAACGCCGCGUGAGUGAAGAAGGAUUUCGGUUCGUAAAGCUCUGUUGUUAGGGAAGAAUGAUUGUGUAGUAACUAUACACAGUAGAGACGGUACCUAACCAGAAAGCCACGGCCAACUACGUG
rnacentral:rRNA from 1 species